CCAUGGGAAAGGGUGCACGCAGGGCUGCCUGCAAGUCCCCAGGGUGCCUCUGGACAGUCCUACCAGGCAGCAGGGCAGCCAACCUGUGCCAGCCUGCAGUGUGAAGCCCUAAAGCUUUGGCAUCUCUGCCGGGCACAGAGCCAGGCGCCUGGCAGGGCUCCAAGAACUACUUUCAGCAAAUCUUCAGUCCACACGGCGGUGGUGGGAAGCAGGAGGCAGGAGUGGGAGACAGGAGAGAUAAAGGGGCUCCUUCGGAGAGGCACCAACUGAACUUCCAGUAAGAAGGCAUGAGACCUUUCGUGGAGCACUUGAUUACAAAGCCAGCAUGUGAGGUGUUAGAAGUGCGUCCCCUCUGUCCCCUCUGGGGUUGGAGUCACACCAUCACCGCCUGGAGGGCAGGACCUGGGGGACUCAGGCCCUAGAGACUGGGAGAGGAGAUCUGGGGUCUCCCUGCCACAGUUAACUUGACUACCUCCACCAGCCGCUUCUGGAAAACAUCUGUGGUUCAAAGAACGCCAGGGCAGGCAGCCCUCGAACUGUGCCCUGACCGAAGCUCGCUGGGGAGGUGUAAUGCCCACCACACUGACUGGCCUGUGCUGAAGAGAGGAGCUGGAGGAGGAGGGAUGGGAAAUGCCCCUGGGGGUGCUGAGCUCUUGGAGAGAUGUCCAGGAACUUGAAGUCAGCCUGCCGGAAUGGCCCAACUGGGCUGCCAUUUAUGGAGGUGACUGAACAGGGGGUGGGGAAGCUUGGUUUCCAGGGGACCCUGAGAGCCUGGCCAGCCAGACCAGGCCCCAGCCCUUUGGCAGGACUGCAGGGCAACUCUCCACAAUUGCUUUUUCAAGACCCUACCCUGCUGGAGUCUUUUCAAACUGACACCCACCCAGUCCCUGACAGCUGCACUGUCACCCUCUGCAUUCUGCUUUGGAAGCUUUUGGGCCCUGCCUUGGGUGCUGCUUUGCCGGCUGAUAGGGGUUGACUUCAGGCUGGGUUCUGCCACGGGGCACACACCUGGUGGGGCCCUUCUGAAGCAUCCCUUUAAGCACUCACUCAGCCUAGAGGGUUGCUACAAGGCAGAGCCCAGCCGGGCCCUCUAACACCGAUGCUUAGAAGGCCCUCCCCCCACCAGCAGGGACCCAGCAGGCUCAACCUGCUGCUGUCUGUUUGUUAGGUGGCAGGCAGCUGAGCACCCGCUGGGAGAAUCCCCUUUGGCGGCACCUGCCAGCGCCUCUCUGUGCCCUCUUUCUUACCUUGAGGAGGUGCUGCUCAAUGGGCAGGGAUCCCUGCAAGAGACAGAUGUAGGUUCUAGCUGGCCUGGAGGGGAGGCUUACACAGCCUCCAGGAGCAUCCGGCCUCAAGAUUGGGAGCGAAAGAGGACCCCCACCAGAGCUCAAGCGGUUGCGUGGCCAGCUCAUCCCAGGGGAAGGACGGGAAAGACAGCAAGGACGAUGGCCAUUGUGCCCUGGCUGAUACCCACCAGCUCGGCAGUGAGCCCAGGCUGUCCUGGCAAACCGUUGUGACCGGGCACUCCCUGAAGCAGAAAAGAAACAGAGAUCAGACUCCUCUCCCGGCCUUGCACUCUCCUUGCACUGGUCCAUAGCCCUGCCACCUGUCACCCAUUCCUGCGUGGGUGGGAACAGGUCAGAACGUGGGCAAAGGGUCUUCCGUGGGACAACUGCUGUGGUCUAUCCUAAGUCACCUUUCUGGAUUUUCUCAUGAAUCAUCGUCAUCAUCAUAGCUUCCUGGGGGCAACAAGCAUUUUAUUGAGAGACAGAGAUGAGACGGAGAAUGAGGACCGCAGACUCCCAACCCCCCUAUUUCACCCACCAGUUGUGCCUCAUCCCUUGAAAGAUGUCCCCCCCAGCAUCGGAGGCUUGCCAAUCAGACCUUCUAGGUGCAAGUCCUCACCACCCAGAAGCAGGAGAUGCAGCCCAAGUCUGACUACUGCCUACCACUUAUAAGAAGCUUGGGCGCAUUUCUCAGCCUCGGUGUCCCAGGCACCUCAUCUGGAAAAUGGAUCAAGAUGAAUGGCCGUUCGCAGGCGCUGGGACGACGCAGCCUUGGGCAAACAAAUAUCAUCCAUCUCAGAGCCUCUGCACAGAGAAGGCUGGCACAAGGCAGGUACCUGUUUGUGGCAGCCUCAGGCUGGUCUCGGGCACUGGCAUCAGAUACGAUCCUGGGCCCUGGGAUUCCACUCAGCACUUUUUCCUGCCCUUGCUCCUCCAGUGUGGCUUGGCGAGGCUCACAGCACGCCAGCUCUCCCUGGCUAGUGGGUCACUUUGCAAUGACUCAGCCUCCCCAGGCAAACUCUGUGCCCCCUGCCGACAGACCGCCGAGGGCCGCUACUGCCCAGGAAGCUCGGACACUUUCAUCAAGUGCAGGGAUUGCCAAGCGUGUGGUGUGGCUCUGGUUCCUGGUGAGCGAGCCCCUGAGGACUGUCCUGAAAGGCGGAGGAAGGGAGGAGAUGGCGCUCCGCUUGGGAGAGCCCAGAGCUGGCUCUCUAACACCUGGCUGGGUGACCUUGGACGGGGCACCUCACCGAUCAGAGCUUAAGCUGGCCCAGGUGUGACAGGGGCGGCACCACCUUCCCUCUGGGGUUGACAGAAGGCUCAAACAGAGUGAGAGGAUGGUGGUAAAAAUCAUGAUAGUGGUAAACACUGUGGCGAUAGCCAGAGCCUCCUGGGCAUUUGUUGUGUGCCAGUUAAAGAGCUCACACACAUUGUACACACAAGCUUACUUAAUCGCCACAGGAAGCCCACUGAGGCAGGUGCUAUAAUUAUCUAUAUUGAACAGGUAAAGGGAUGGAGAGGACUCGAGGUUAAUUAACUUGUCCAGCAUCACAGAGAAAACGACAGAAAAGAGCUGCCUGGCUCUGAGAACGGUCAGUGUGACGCUGAUCUCCACUCCUGACAGUCUCUACUCACUAUCUCUGGCCUCUGUGCUGUUUCCUGAGGGCAUCGUGGACAUCCUUCCUUCUAGGCCUUUGCACCUGCUGCCUUCCCUUCAGGAGUGCUCCUCCCUAGGGAUGCUCCUCCCCAAGGAUGCCCCUCCCCUUCUAGGGGUGCUCCACCCCACGAGUGCUCUCCCCAAGGAUGCUCCUCCCCAGAAGUGUUCCUCCCCAGGGAUGCUCCCCCCC